AACGAACGCUGGCGGCAUGCCUAACACAUGCAAGUCGAACGAGACCUUCGGGUCUAGUGGCGCACGGGUGCGUAACGCGUGGGAACCUGCCCUUAGGUUCGGAAUAACUCCCCGAAAGGGGUGCUAAUACCGGAUAAUGUCUUCGGACCAAAGAUUUAUCGCCUUUGGAUGGGCCCGCGUUGGAUUAGCUAGUUGGUAGGGUAAAAGCCUACCAAGGCGACGAUCCAUAGCUGGUCUGAGAGGAUGAUCAGCCACACUGGGACUGAGACACGGCCCAGACUCCUGCGAGCGGCAGCAGUGGGGAAUAUUGGACAAUGGGCGAAAGCCUGAUCCAGCAAGGCCGCGUGAGUGAUGAAGGCGUUAGGGUUGUAAAGCUCUUUUACCCGGGAUGAUAAUGACAGUACCGGGAGAAUAAGCUCCGGCUAACUCCGU
rnacentral:rRNA from 1 species